UACAAUAGUAUAUUAAUAUAUAUUAAAUUAAUAUAUCAUUUUGACGUCACUUUGCUACUUGGGUUGGUAUCGUCGUGAUUUGAUGGAUAAAAGAGAUCUGUAUGUAAGAAAAAUCGCGAGGAAAAUCUAAUCUAUGUAAAUGUAGCGUGCGAUGUUUAAUAAUUUCUCUGUUUCUCUCUCUCUCUCUCUCUCUCUCUCUCUCUCUCUUCCCUUACAUUACAGUCGUUUUGCCUAUUACAGUCCCGGCCAAAAAUAAUCGUUAACCAUUCUUGAUCGAGAAGUUCGUUCGAUUAAGAUGAAUUUUUUGAUCAAUUCUAACUAAUUUGUAAAGUUAUUAUUAAGAUAUAGCGCAAUUUUUUUAAAGAUUUCUUAAAACUUGCGUCUCUCUCUCUCUCUCUCUCAGUAUUAUUUACAAUUGUCAGUGUGUUUGCCGUACAUACUUUUUAAUUUCUGAACACCGAUUUAUCGUGCGAUAUUCGCUCGAUACCUAUGUAAAGGAUUGAAUAAUUUGCGUACACUGCGUAAUAAUAUAACGUCGUAUUUUAUUCGAAUAUAUUUACAGACGUCACAAAAAAGCGUUUAUAAAAUGGUACGAAAUAUACAAUAUUAAUUACAAACUUAAUUACGAAAACUUAAGGGAUUUCCCGGAAAUCCUCGCCCUUAAACUUUCGACUGUUUGUCUCAAAUCUUUGUGUUUUAUACAGAUCGAUUUCGUCAGAUAAAUCGGCACGAUAUAAAUCAUAUAUUAUAAGAUCAAAAGUAUUCGACAUAUUUAUAAUAGAUCUCUUACGAUCGAAAAUUGUUGGCACGUUUAUCCUGCUUAGAAAAUUUGUCGCUGCGUAUCGUAGGAUCCAAGAAUUACGAUCGUGAUUAUAUGGAGAACGCUGUGGAAGUCGCACAGAUCGAUAUAAAAUCGCGUUAAUCGCGCAUACAAAAUCAUAUAAAGAUUACAGAAUCCAACGAAAAAUCAUUAUAGAGCAGGAUUAGGACUUCGUCCUAAACUUCAUCAUGUAAAUCAAAUAUUUUUGCACUUCGAGUAUCGAUCAAUUUUUGAUUAUCGAUUAAUCCUUAAUUAUCGAUUAAAUAUCGAUUAUUGAUCGAUUAAUGAUCGAUCAAUUAUAAACAGUGGCACGAAGAACACAUCACGAUCACAGGAUUUGAUACUGGUUCAGCAGGGUGUAGACUAUGACCCAAAGAAGGAACGCCACGAUGACGGAGACGAGGAAGAUUGUCUUGAGGGAGUGCCAAGGACUCUCGGAGUGCUGCUCGCCGUUGCGGUUACUCCUCCAGACCUUGCAGCCGCCGUUCUUGCAGGGCGCCGGCUCGCCACCGCUGGUGUGUGGCGUUGACGUCGCGAUGCUGCUACCCGGCAAGGUCACCUUCACUUCACCCAGCUCCGUCAUCGCCUCGCCGGUAGCGUGGCGAUGCACCUCUGCCACCGCCGCCGUCGUCGGCUCGAACUUCGACGACGGUUCCAUCUGAAGAAGAGAAUGCAAUUAUUUUCAAAAUUGCUGAAUAAAAAUUCUCACAAUGAUAAUCAAAGCGAAGUCAAUAACGUGUGUGAUGAUGAGGAUAUGAAAGUGAAAGGAACAAAACAGCCGAUGAUUACGCGUGCUUCAGGAAUCCGGCUUUUCGAGAGGAAGGGAUAAUUAUGUUGCGGAUGUGACACGAUCAUAUAAUAUCAAGUUUAUAACAGAGAAAACUUAUCUUGGGGUCCAGAUAUAAUCUCGUAUGGAUUCGAUCGACUUCGUCAUAUAUAAAGAUUAUAGAUAAUCGAAAGAGGACACGGAACAUUUUAUUUACAGUGCAAUGUGCAAUAUGUGUACAUACAUAUAUUACGUGUAUAAAUGCGUCUGAUAAGAUGGAAGACAGGGUAGGAGACGGAAUAAAGGAAGGGAUAGCUUCACAUAUAUAUGUAUAUACACGAUGAAGGAAAUAUUGUGUUACGUGCAAAUUUCCCAGCGUUUGUGUAUAAUAUAUAUCGUGUGCGACUACCUUGCAUAAUAAUUUUCUUCCGUCUUAUUGUAUUAUUUUCCACUAGAACAAUCACGACCUCGACGAGCCAUAUUCGCGAAUAAACGAGCGAAAUUAUUUCUCACGUCGACACUUCUUUGCACACGUGUGUAAUUGGAAAUGCGGUAUCCGGUAUCACGAAAGAAUCAUAUCUCCGAUUGAUUAAGCUCGUCGUCUUGUCUUUUGGUUAUUUUGAUCAAUUCCUUGUCGACUUUUUAUCGCGCGAUAACGCGCGAGCACAUUCAAGCGAUUGUAGUUAUAUGAAAAAAAAUGAAAAAAAGAAAUAAAUCGACGAAAAUUAUAUAAUAUAUAACGAUUUUUUAGUGUACACUUGUGAGAAAUCGAGAUAAAAAAUAUGUGACUCGUCGAUGAAAUAUUAUUGCUCCAAUUCUUCAUCCGAAUGUAUAAUAAUGAUUCGCACAGCUCGCAGCUGUCACAUCAUACCUGAUGAUGGCGCGUGUCAGCAAUGGCGGCGGGACGUUCGACGCAACGUUCGCAAAUGGAAUAACGAUGCAAGAUAUCAUCGGAUCGAUCAUAUAUCGAUUGAUAUGUGUGUUACACUUUCGUGAACGAUAAGGCGACACGAGUCGCGAGAGGCCUGAAAGUUUAUACAUUCUCUAUUAUUUGUCGCUCACCUGACGCAUCUGUUGCGGCCGCCAGGUGCGCUUGAAAAAGCUCUCGAAACACUUCAUGCUUGCUUCAUCACUCUCCCCCACCUCCUCACAGUCCUCACCUCUUCAAUAUCGGUCAUAACAUAUUGUUCUUUUUUGCUAUCAGAGCUAUUUGCGACGCAAGAACUCGAUCGUCCUCCCGUGUAACCCGAUCGAGGUCGAUCGCGGAGUCGAAGUCAAGUUAUGGUAGAGAGGGAUCGAGGAGCACAAUUAUUUUUAUAUAUUUUACGCGAACGAGAAUGAUAAAUAUUAAGGACACCCGCGAGCAGAUGCGCGCCGUUCGCCGAGCGUUCGCCGACUAAUGAGAGGAACUCCUUCGCAAAGAGAUGCUGGCGAAAGAGUGUUGUUGUUCCUCCACACUUCUCCACUCGCGGAAGCGAGUCGCAAAGAAGGACUUAUUGGAUUUACUUUCAAAAAUAUGGAAACAAAUAUUGAACAUCGAGCUCAUAGAUUAGUUAGUUAAACUAAUAUAACAUCUAAUAAAUAUUUAAAUAAUAAAUAAA